ensembl:lncRNA
AGGUGGAGAGGCAGAACAUUUUGUGUAGUAACAUCAAAGUUCAAAUGGUUAACAUGCAUUCCUUCUACAUACUUGACUGUUCUGCAUACUGAGUGGUUUGAAAACUCAAGACAUCUUGAUAAGACAGCUAUACCUCUGCCACCAUGGUGGUCUCCAGCUCCAGCUGUGCUGCCUGGGUUGUCUUCUGUUCUACCUACUCUGCCGUGGCUGCCUGAUCUGCCAGCUCCUCCCUGGUCUUUAGCUCCACCCAGGCCACCUAAUCUACUGUUUCCACCCUGGUCUUCAGUUCCACCUAGCCCACCUGAUCUGCCGGCUCCUCCCUGGUCAUCAAAUCUUCCAUCUCCUUAAUGGUCUCCAACUCUGCCCUGGCCACAGUCUGCCUGCUCCACCCUAUGCAAUUACUUUUUUGCCAAUAAAAAUGAAUGUAAUUUUUCAAUAAACUUAUGAAAAUAUAAACUGAAACUGAAUAAAAUGUCUUUGAAACUAGAAAAUAAUAAAUAAAUUGCAGACAAAAUCUUUGACUUCGCUUUUAACAAACUGCAUGUUUUGCUUACCGUUUUCUCCUCAUUCUUUCUCUGAUCUGUACUUACAAAUGUGCUUUCAGAGAUUUCAUUUAUGCUUCCGAAGUUUUUGUUUGGCAUAAAUCUCUUAUGAGUUGGCUAGCAGUGUUGUGUGCUCAUUGGCUACUGAGUUUUUGAUUGACAGUUUCUUGACCUGGAAGUGAAGGCGUCACUGUUGUGCCUGGCGCCUGUGUGCAUGUGACCCUCUGUUAGCAUAUCCCUAUGUCAUUUUAGUGAUACAAAGUUAGGAGUUUUGUUCUUGAAUUUAAUGUGUAUCUGUUGCUAUUACUCUGUCGAUAUAAGCUUUUAUGAGUGGGAGAGAUCAAACGUGGGAGAAAAUGAAGGUCUAUUGAGGUUUAAUUAGAUUAACUGUAUAUAACACUGAAAAUAUUGUAUAAUCUCCAAUGUUUUCAUAGAAUAUUUGUUUAUUGCUGAUGAUUCUUUUGCAUUGUGGGGUUUAAUUAGGUUAUGUUAUUGCAAUUUAAAGAUAAUACUAGUAUCGUAUGUGUGAGAUAUAUUCAGACGUCAAGAAAGUCUCUUCAAAAUCAGGUAAUCAAGGUUGACAACCCUGGCCAUAACACUUAGCAUAUGCACUUGCACCAUCACAAUUACUGAUCACUUAAUUCUGAAGAAUUUAAAAAAUAUGAAAAAUACAGUCAUAGCUUGUCAGAUGGUUCAGACCUCAUAGGUCAUUUCAUUACAUAUUCCACACAAAGAAUGUUCUUGCUACUAAUUGUUUUAUCAUGCUGAUAAUUUUGUUUAGUUAUUUUAUUUAGUUAACAUUAUCAUUGUCACACUUUUAUUGUGUUGGAGCAAGAAGAUGCAGGAGAAUAGUCAACAGUCUUUAAUGAACCAAGGAUAUCCAGGAACAGUGGCGGUUUCUCCAUUAGGGUGAUUGGGCGAGGCACCACCAAAGCACGAAAUGGAGGGAAUUUUAUUUUUUUUCACAUUCAACCACAGUGUUAUGCUAGCUUUCACUAUUCUAGACUGUUUGUUCUGCCUCUAAAUAGUCCAAUCAGUGUCGAGUCGUGUUUUGUGUAGUACUGCCCCUUUUUGGGCGAUUUCUGUCAGACUGAGAAUCGCCCCCGAGUGCUCUCAUUAACUUCCAUUCAAAGAUCUUUAUUUUCGAACUGCAGGCACUGCAAUGCAAUCUCAAUGAGUUCCGGGAGGGCUCGCACUAACGUGCUUUCGUCAUCAUACGUAACCUUAACUUGUGCAAGGAUUGGUGGGAACAGUGGCAUCCAAUAAUAUUUAAAAACAAUUUUGAGUUUUAACAAGAAAAAAUUAAAAACUGCUUUAAUAUCUUUAUCAAAUGUGAAAAACGAAAAGAAAAAAAAGAGAGAAAGAGAAAGACGGGGACAGCUAAGCCAACUCAAAUUCAUCAUGGCGAACGUUACCCUUGUUGAAAAAAACAGCAUAUGCAGGUUAGGUAUGUUUGUAUGCUGGGAUGCUGGUUUAUGCUGGUCCUUUGCUGGUUUAUGCUGGUCCUUUUGCUGGUCCAAACGACCAGCAUAAACCAGCAUUCCAGCUUCAAACCAUACCUAACCAGCAUAUGCUGUUUUUUUCAGCAGCGACCUCAGCACAGAUGAAGUGAGUAAUUUAAGUAAGCAGUGUAAUGCAAGGGAGCAAUGUAAUAUAAUGUGAUAUAAGUGAGUAAUGUGAUUUAAGUGAGCAGUGUAAUACAAAUGAGCUGUGUAAUAAUGUAAGUAAUGUUGUGUGUAAUAUAAGUGAGUUGUGUAAAGCAAUUUUUUUGUGACUUUAUGUGACUUCAUUUAAUUUUUAUUAAACUGAUUUUGAAGUAAAAUGUUUUUUUGAAAACCACAUCCUGGCUUCAGUCUUCAUUUGCUGCUGAAUUGUGUAUAGAAACAUAAGGAGAGCAUGAGAUUGAUUGUUAGAGCAUACCAGCUAUUUGCUUUUGGAGCUGAGCAACAUUGUUCUGCUCCAUCCGUCUUCAAGUGAGCUACGAGUUCAACGUGCUCUUGGAAUCUUCUGGUGUUGGUGGUACGGCGCUUCAGUGGUGGUUGUUCUGUGUUGAGCGUUUUGCGUACUUCAGGCUGCACCAACCCCUGUUGUGCUGCAAGCGGCCAGUUCCCCUGUGCGCAUCAGCAUUAAAAGAGCAUUUUCCUAAAAGAGC